GGCUCUGUGGUGCAAAGGUUAGUGCAUUGGACUUGUGAAGGGAUUCAAAGUUUCUGGGUUUAAGUCCUAGUAGAGUCA
rnacentral:tRNA from 1 species